rnacentral:sRNA from 1 species
AUUAAACCAACAUCUAUAACCAGAAAUAACCAACAUCAAUAACCGGUUAUAUCUGCAAUAUACCCCCUCAAAUCUCUAUCUUUUAAAUGUCUCGUUUGGAAGGUAGAGAUUUGACAACGACAUUUGCUUCAGAAGAUGGUGGAAAGGACCUGGAUGUAAAGACUUUGUAAGAAUGUCAGCAUGCUGAUUCUCAGUCGGAACAUGUAAGGCUUUGAGAUUUCCAGCUUUAAUUUGAUCCCUUACCGUGUGACAAUCGAUCUCAAUGUGCUUAGUUCUCUCGUGGAAGACCGGAUUCAUCGAGAUGUGUAGAGCAGACUUAUUGUCACAAAAUAAUUUUGCAGGACAAGUAACUUGAAUAUACAGAUCCUUGAGCAACUACUGUAGCCAAAUCACUUCACAAGUAGCUUGUGCCAUAGCCAUGUACUCAGACUCAGCACUACUUCGACUAGCAACUGCCUGUUUCUUAGACUUCCAAGAGAUGAGUGAAGUACCUAAAUAAACACAGAAGCCUGAUACUGAACGUCUAGUAUCUUUGCAAGCUUCCCAAUCUGCAUCAGAGAAUGCAUUCAAACACAAUUCAACAUUUGCAGAGAACAUCAAUCCUUGACCUGGAUUCGUCUUGAUAUAUCGGAGAACCUUAUGAGCUGCUUGAAGAUGAAUAUCAGUAGGAGCUGAAAUGAACUGACUCAGUUGAUGAACCGCAAAUGUUAUAUCUGGUCUUGUAAUAGUGAGAUAAAGCAGUCGACCAAUGAGUUCCCUAUAAGUAGUUGGAUUUGGUAAUAGAGUUCCAUAUCUUUAACCAAAUGCAGAUUCGGAUCCAUAGGUAUCAAACUUGG